rnacentral:rRNA from 1 species
UACGUAGGGUGCGAGCGUUAAUCGGAAUUACUGGGCGUAAAGCGUGCGCAGGCGGUUUUGUAAGACAGGCGUGAAAUCCCCGGGCUUAACCUGGGAACUGCGUUUGUGACUGCAAGGCUAGAGUGUAGCAGAGGGGGGUAGAAUUCCACGUGUAGCAGUGAAAUGCGUAGAUAUGCGGAGGAACACCAAUGGCGAAGGCAAUCCCCUGGGCCUGUACUGACGCUCAUGCACGAAAGCGUGGGGAGCAAACAGGAUUAGAAACCCCGGUAGU